AUUUAUACUUGGCCCUUGACUUUUUUUUAAUUGUUGCGGUGAUAAUGAGAUCAAUAGUAUGAUCUACUACUCAUAGUUUACAACAAAAUCCUUUCCAACUGGAUUAAGGUAAUAUCCAUACCAUUGUCGCCAUACACCAUACCAAACAAGUGGUAUAACUAUUUUAAAUAUUCUUAAUAUAUAUAAGAAACGGCAUGGAAUAAAAGAGGCAAGAUCAGCUCAUUGUAGGUUUCAGCAAAACAAACCAAAAGGACGACGAGUGUCAGAAUAGAAAAUGGAAGAAUAAAGUCAGCUUUGAAGUCUACCUGUACAUCUGCAGUGCAUUGUCAACUCUGAGCUUAUUUUGAAAUCAAAGAAUGAUCACACAGAAUUCCAAGCAAUCAGACACAGAUUGCUAUAUAGAGACUUCACAUCAAGUUCUUUCUUUGUAGCAAGGCGAAGUAAAAACCCUGAUGUUUUGAGAUGAACAGUAAAAGCAAAUUAGUCACAUCUAGCAUACAAUUAAUGUUACCAGCAACACAGUGAAAAACAGCAGUUUGAAAACUUAUAAAAAUGUGGAGUUAUUUUCUUGGACGUAUAGUAUAAAAAACCUGUCUUUUUUAUGAGACAAUGAUUACCGAUUUGAAAUCUUCACAGAUGUGCUAUUAAAGUUAUUAAUUUCA